UUUUUGUUUUUAUUUCUGCUAUGCUGUCUUAUAAUGGUGAAGAAUGAUUUGCUGUCUGGGGGAAAAGGUAAAAGGUAGAAAAAAUGUAAUGCUUUCAAUAAAAAAAAUACAGCUGACUCACAAUAAGUCUAUGAAAAGAUGCUCAACAUGACUAAUCAUUGGGGAAAUGCAAAUGAAAACUACAGUGAAUGAUCACUUCACACUUCUCAGGAUGACCACUAUAAAAACAAAAAACCCCCACAAACUUCCGGUCAUGGUGGCUCACAUCUGUAAUAUCAGCACUUUGGAAGGCUGAGGCAAGGAGGAUUAUCUGAGCUCAGGCAUUUGAGACCAGCCUGGGCAACAUGGCGAAAUCCCAUCUCUACAAAAAGUUAGCCUGGCAUGGUGAUUCACACCUGUGAUCCUGUCAACUCAGGAGGCCAAAGCAAGAGGAUCACCUGAGCCCAAGAGGUGAAGACUGCAGUCAGCCGUGAUUACACUGCAGCACUCCAGGCUAGGUGACAGAGCAAGACCCCAUCUCAACAAACAAACAGCAAUAACAACAACAGAAAAUAAGAAGGGUUCACAAACAUGUGGAGAAAUUGUAAGACUUGUGCACUGUUUGUGGGAAUACAAUGGUUCAGCUACUACGGAAAACUGUAUAGAGCUUGCUGAGAAAAUUAAAAAUAGAAUUACCAUAUGAUCUAGCAAUGAUCUGUUGCACAAUGACAUGCAUAUGGCUAACUUAAAAAUGGCUAAGAUGGUAAAUCUUAUGUCGUGUACUUCUUAUCACAAUAAAAACAAAUACAGUGGAUACAUGUAAUAAAGGCAUUUGAUCUUUUUUUUACAAGAUAGUGCUGAAGGCAAAGAAGGAAGCUCCUGCCCCUCCUAAAGCCAAAGCUUUGAAGUGAAGGCUUUGAAGGCCAAGAAGGCAGUGCUGAAAGGUGUCCACAGCCAUAAGAAAAAAGAUCUGCAGGUCACCCAUCUUCUGACGGCCCAAGACACUGUGACUCCCAAAGCACCCUAAGUAUCUUCAAAAGACUCUGCCCCCAGGAGAAACAAGCUUGACCACUGUGCUAUCAUCAAGUUUCCACUGCCCACUAAGUCUACCAUCAAGAAGAUAUAAGACAACAACACACUUGUGUUCAUUGUGGAUGUUAAAGCCAACAAGCACCAGAUCAAACAGGCUGUGAAGAAGCUCUAUGACCCUGAUGUGGCCAAGGUCAACACCCUCAUCAGGCCUUGUAUUAGUCAGGGUUCUCUAGAAGGACAGAACUAAUAGGAUAGGUGUAUAUAUGAAAGGAAGUUUGUUAAGGAGUAUUGACUCACACGAUCACAAGGUGAUGGUCCCUCAAUAGGCCGUCUGCAAGCUGAGGAACAAGGAAGCCAGUCCAAGUCCCAAAACCUCAAAAGUAGGAAGCUGACAGUGCAGCCUUCAGUAGGUGGCUGAAGGCCCAAGAGCCCCUGGAAAAUCAUUGGUAUAAGUCCAAGAGUCCAAAAGUUGAAGAACUUGGAGUCUGAUGUUUAAGGGCAGAAAGCAUCCAGCAAGGGAGAAAGAUGAAGCCUGGAAGACUCAGCAAGUCAAGUCCUUCCACAUUUGUCUGCCUGCUUUAUUCUAGCCAUGCUGGAAGCUGAUUAGAUAGUGCCCACUUAGGUUGAGGGUAGGUCUGCCUCUCUCAGUCCGCUGACUCAAAUGUUAAUCUCCUUUGGCAACACUCUCACAGACACACCGAAGAACAAUACUUUGCAUCCUUCGAUCCAGUCAAGUUGACACUCAAUAUUAACCAUCACAGGCCUGAUGAAGAGAAGAAGGCAUAUAUGUUCAACUGGCUCCUGACGACAGUGCUUUG
rnacentral:lncRNA from 1 species